rnacentral:misc_RNA from 1 species
GAUGAAGAACGCAGUGAAAUGCGAUAAGUAAUGUGAAUUGCAGAAUUCAGUGAAUCAUCGAAUCUUUGAACGCACAUUGCGCCCGCCAGUAUUCUGGCGGGCAUGCCUGUCCGAGCGUCAUUUCAACCCUCGAACCCCUCCGGGGGGUCGGCGUUGGGGAUCGGCCCUGCCUUUGGCGGUGGCCGUCUCCGAAAUACAGUGGCGGUCUCGCCGCAGCCUCUCCUGCGCAGUAGUUUGCACACUCGCAUCGGGAGCGCGGCGCGUCCACAGCCGUUAAACACCCAACUUCUGAAAUGUUGACCUCGGAUCAGGUAGGAAUACCCGCUGAACUUAAGCAUAUCAAUAAGCGGAGGA